rnacentral:rRNA from 1 species
CGAACGGGUGAGUAACACGUGGGUGAUCUGCCCCAAACUUUGGGAUAAGCCUGGGAAACUGGGUCUAAUACCGAAUAUUACCUUCUCCUGCAUGGGGGUUGGUGGAAAGCUCCGGCGGUUUGGGAUGGGCCCGCGGCCUAUCAGCUUGUUGGUGGGGUAAUGGCCUACCAAGGCGACGACGGGUAGCCGGCCUGAGAGGGCGACCGGCCACACUGGGACUGAGACACGGCCCAGACUCCUACGGGAGGCAGCAGUGGGGAAUAUUGCACAAUGGGCGCAAGCCUGAUGCAGCGACGCCGCGUGAGGGAUGACGGCCUUCGGGUUGUAAACCUCUUUCACCAGGGACGAAGCGUGAGUGACGGUACCUGGAGAAGAAGCACCGGCCAACUACGUG